AGCGAGGUGGCCGAGUGGUUAAGGCGAUGGACUGCUAAUCAAUUGUGCCCUGCACGCGUGGGUUCGAAUCCCAUCCUCGUCG
rnacentral:tRNA from 1 species